rnacentral:lncRNA from 1 species
GCUACAGAUCCAGCUCCCCGAUUCCGUGAAUCAGCUACUCUGCUAUCUGAGAGAGCUGCCCCUGCUUUUCCACCAGAAUGUGCUGCUGCCACUGUGGCACCUCUUGCUUGAGGCCCUGGCCCGGGCCCAGGAGCACUGCCAUGAGGCAUGCAGAGGUGAGGUGACCUGGGACUGCAUGAAGACACAGCUCAGUGAGGCUGUCCACUGGACCUGGCUUUGCCUACAGGACAUUACAGUGGCUUUCUUGGACUGGGCACUUGCCCUGAUAUCCCAGCAGUAGGCCCUGCCUUCCUGGCCACUGAUUUCUGCAUGGGUAGACCAUCCAAGACUGCAGCGGGUAGAAGGUGGCAGUUCUUCAUGGCAGUCUUUUUAACUUGGUGCCUGAGUUCUCUCCUAGGCAAGUGGCCAGUUGCCUCCACCUCAGUUCUUCCAUCUUUGGUGGGGACAGGGCCCAGCAGCAUCUCAGCCUCCUACCCACAAUUCCACUGAAAACUUUUCUGGCCCUACUGCACAUGGCCCCCAGCCUCCAUCCUUGUGCUGGUAGCCUCUCACAACUCCGCCCUUGCCCUCUGCCUUCCACUUCCUUCCAUCUCAUUUCUAAACCCCAAACAGCUCAUCUCUAAAAAGAUAGAACUCCCAGCAGGUGGCUUCUGUGUUCUUCUGACAAAUGAUUCCUGCUUCUCCAGACUUUAGCAGCCUCCUGUUCCCAUUCUUGGUCACAGCUCUAGCCACAGCAGAAGGAAAGGGGCUUCCAGAAGAAUAUAGCACCGCAUUGGGAAACAGCAGCCUCACCUCCACCUGAAGCCUGGGUGUGGCUGUCAGUGGCCAUGGGGAGCUGGAUGGAAAUGCCUCUCACUUCAAAAUGCCCAGCCUGCCCCAAAUGCCUCUAAGCCCCUCCCUGUCCCCUCCCUUGUAGUCCUACUUCUUCCAACUUUCCAUUCCCCAUCAUGCUGGGGGUCUCGGUCACAAGGCUCAGCUUCUCUCCACUGUCCAUCCCUCCUAUCAUCUGUAGAGCAGAGCCCAGGUAGUUGUGUGCCUUGGGCCCAGGGAACCCUCCAUCAACCUGAGACAGGACUCAGCAUAUGGUUCUUGGGUAUGCCCUACCAGGUGGAAUAAAGGACACAGA